CCUACGGGAGGCAGCAGUGGAGGAUAUUUCACAAUGGGGGAAACCCUGAUGCAGCGACGCCACGUGUGGGAAGACGGUCCUCUGGAUUGUAGACCACUGUCCGAAGGGACGACGAUGACGGUACCUGAGGAGGAAGCUCCGGCUACCUACGUGCCAGCAGCCGCGGUAAUACGUAGGGGGCGAGCGUUGUCCGGAAUUACGGGGUGUAAAGGGAGCGUAGGCGGGGAUGCAAGGUGGGUUUCAAAACUACGGGCUCAACUGGUAGUCGCACUCAAAACUGCAGGUCUUGAGUGAAGUAGAGGCAGGCGGAAUUCGUAGUGUAGCGGUGAAAUGCGUAGAUAUUAGGAGGAACACCAGUGGCGAAGGCGGCCUGCUGGGCUUUUACUGACGCUGAGGCUCGAAAGUGUGGGGAGCAAACAGGAUUAGAUACCCUUGUAGUC
rnacentral:rRNA from 1 species